CAGCACCUCAAGUGGUCAGGAUGAUUAUCGGGCCUAAAGCAUCCGUAGCCUGCUUUGUAAGUUUUCGGUUAAAUCCAUACGCUUAACGUAUGGGCUGCCGGGAAUACUGCAAAGCUAGGGAGUGGGAGAGGUAGACGGUACUCGGUAGGAAGGGGUAAAAUCCUUUGAUCUAUUGAUGACCACCUGUGGCGAAGGCGGUCUACCAGAACACGUCCGACGGUGAGGGAUGAAAGCUGGGGGAGCAAACCGGAUUAGAUACCCGAGUAGUCC
rnacentral:rRNA from 1 species